rnacentral:rRNA from 1 species
AUUGAACGCUGGCGGCAGGCCUAACACAUGCAAGUCGAGCGGAUGAAGGGAGCUUGCUCCUGGAUUCAGCGGCGGACGGGUGAGUAAUGCCUAGGAAUCUGCCUGGUAGUGGGGGAUAACGUCCGGAAACGGGCGCUAAUACCGCAUACGUCCUGAGGGUGAAAGGGGGGGAUCUUCGGACCUCACGCUAUCAGAUGAGCCUAGGUCGGAUUAGCUAGUUGGUGGGGUAAAGGCCUACCAAGGCGACGAUCCGUAACUGGUCUGAGAGGAUGAUCAGUCACACUGGAACUGAGACACGGUCCAGACUCCUACGGGAGGCAGCAGUGGGGAAUAUUGGACAAUGGGCGAAAGCCUGAUCCAGCCAUGCCGCGUGUGUGAAGAAGGUCUUCGGAUUGUAAAGCACUUCAAGUUGGGAGGAAGGGCAGUAAGUUAAUACCUUGCUGUUUUGACGUUACCAACAGAAUAAGCACCGGCUAACUUCGUG